UGGGGAAUUUUGGACAAUGGGCGAAAGCCUGAUCCAGCAAUGCCGCGUGUGUGAAGAAGGCCUUCGGGUUGUAAAGCACUUUUGUCCGGAAAGAAAUCCUUGGCUCUAAUACAGUCGGGGGAUGACGGUACCGGAAGAAUAAGCACCGGCUAACUACGUGCCAGCAGCCGCGGUAAUACGUAGGGUGCAAGCGUUAAUCGGAAUUACUGGGCGUAAAGCGUGCGCAGGCGGUUUGCUAAGACCGAUGUGAAAUCCCCGGGCUCAACCUGGGAACUGCAUUGGUGACUGGCAGGCUAGAGUAUGGCAGAGGGGGGUAGAAUUCCACGUGUAGCAGUGAAAUGCGUAGAGAUGUGGAGGAAUACCGAUGGCGAAGGCAGCCCCCUGGGCCAAUACUGACGCUCAUGCACGAAAGCGUGGGGAGCAAACAGGAUUAGAUACCCUGGUAGUCCACACCCUAAACGAUGUCAACUAGUUGUUGGGGAUUCAUUUCCUUAGUAACGUAGCUAACGCGUGAAGUUGACCGCCUGGGGAGUACGGUCGCAAGAUUAAACUCAAAGGAAUUGACGGGGUCAUAGCUG
rnacentral:rRNA from 1 species